rnacentral:rRNA from 1 species
GAUGAACGCUGGCGGCGUGCCUAAUACAUGCAAGUCGAGCGAACAGACGAGGAGCUUGCUCCUCUGACGUUAGCGGCGGACGGGUGAGUAACACGUGGAUAACCUACCUAUAAGACUGGGAUAACUUCGGGAAACCGGAGCUAAUACCGGAUAAUAUAUUGAACCGCAUGGUUCAAUAGUGAAAGACGGUUUUGCUGUCACUUAUAGAUGGAUCCGCGCCGCAUUAGCUAGUUGGUAAGGUAACGGCUUACCAAGGCAACGAUGCGUAGCCGACCUGAGAGGGUGAUCGGCCACACUGGAACUGAGACACGGUCCAGACUCCUACGGGAGGCAGCAGUGGGGAAUCUUCCGCAAUGGGCGCAAGCCUGACGGAGCAACGCCGCGUGAGUGAUGAAGGUCUUCGGAUCGUAAAACUCUGUUAUUAGGGAAGAACAAAUGUGUAAGUAACUAUGCACGUCUUGACGGUACCUUAUCAGAAAGCCACGGCUAACUACGUG